CCAGUAUCACUUCCUUAUCACUUUUCCAGCCCAGCUUUUCAUGACAAACUGUUGGACGGAGAACUGAUAAGGCUGUGUGACUGC
rnacentral:pre_miRNA from 17 species